GAUAGAUUGAAUUUAUUUACAGUUAACUAUUUUAUUUGAAAUUUGAGAAGUUUAAGCUAGAAGUGGGCGAUAUAAUAACUACUGAUCAGAGCUAGAACACACAUGUUGAAUUGAUUGAAGCUACGACACUACAUUAAAAUUACAUGCAAACAGAAAAGGGAGUUAAGAGCUGUAAAUCGUGAAAUAAAAGGAGAAAGUGAAAGUCAUUCGCAGGAGGGAAACGAAGAAACUAACUCUUUGAUCUGCUUUGAAGUGGCAGAUUUCACGGAUUUUUUCUUCAACUUCGACGGUUUCCGAACA